GACGAACCUUGCAAACGUUAUUCGGAAUCACUGGGCUUAAAGGGUGCGUAGGCGGUGCAGAAAGUUGGGUGUGAAAGCCCUCGGCUUAACCGAGGAAUUGCGCCCAAAACUUCUGUACUCGAGGGAGAUAGAGGUGAGCGGAACUUAGGGUGGAGCGGUGAAAUGCGUUGAUAUCCUAAGGAACACCGGUGGCGAAAGCGGCUCACUGGAUCUCUUCUGACGCUGAGGCACGAAAGCUAGGGUAGCAAACGGG
rnacentral:rRNA from 1 species